rnacentral:rRNA from 1 species
AGCGUACACGGUGGAUGCCCUGGCAGUCAGAGGCGAUGAAGGACGUGCUAAUCUGCGAUAAGCGUCGGUAAGGUGAUAUGAACCGUUAUAACCGGCGAUUUCCGAAUGGGGAAACCCAGUGUGUUUCGACACACUAUCAUUAACUGAAUCCAUAGGUUAAUGAGGCGAACCGGGGGAACUGAAACAUCUAAGUACCCCGAGGAAAAGAAAUCAACCGAGAUUCCCCCAGUAGCGGCGAGCGAACGGGGAGCAGCCCAGAGCCUGAAUCAGUGUGUGUGUUAGUGGAAGCGUCUGGAAAGGCGCGCGAUACAGGGUGACAGCCCCGUACACAAAAAUGCACAUGCUGUGAGCUCGAUGAGUAGGGCGGGACACGUGGUAUCCUGUCUGAAUAUGGGGGGACCAUCCUCCAAGGCUAAAUACUCCUGACUGACCGAUAGUGAACCAGUACCGUGAGGGAAAGGCGAAAAGAACCCCGGCGAGGGGAGUGAAAAAGAACCUGAAACCGUGUACGUACAAGCAGUGGGAGCACGCUUAGGCGUGUGACUGCGUACCUUUUGUAUAAUGGGUCAGCGACUUAUAUUCUGUAGCAAGGUUAACCGAAUAGGGGAGCCGAAGGGAAACCGAGUCUUAACUGGGCGUUAAGUUGCAGGGUAUAGACCCGAAACCCGGUGAUCUAGCCAUGGGCAGGUUGAAGGUUGGGUAACACUAACUGGAGGACCGAACCGACUAAUGUUGAAAAAUUAGCGGAUGACUUGUGGCUGGGGGUGAAAGGCCAAUCAAACCGGGAGAUAGCUGGUUCUCCCCGAAAGCUAUUUAGGUAGCGCCUCGUGAAUUCAUCUCCGGGGGUAGAGCACUGUUUCGGCAAGGGGGUCAUCCCGACUUACCAACCCGAUGCAAACUGCGAAUACCGGAGAAUGUUAUCACGGGAGACACACGGCGGGUGCUAACGUCCGUCGUGAAGAGGGAAACAACCCAGACCGCCAGCUAAGGUCCCAAAGUCAUGGUUAAGUGGGAAACGAUGUGGGAAGGCCCAGACAGCCAGGAUGUUGGCUUAGAAGCAGCCAUCAUUUAAAGAAAGCGUAAUAGCUCACUGGUCGAGUCGGCCUGCGCGGAAGAUGUAACGGGGCUAAACCAUGCACCGAAGCUGCGGCAGCGACGCUUAUGCGUUGUUGGGUAGGGGAGCGUUCUGUAAGCCUGUGAAGGUGUGUUGUGAGGCAUGCUGGAGGUAUCAGAAGUGCGAAUGCUGACAUAAGUAACGAUAAAGCGGGUGAAAAGCCCGCUCGCCGGAAGACCAAGGGUUCCUGUCCAACGUUAAUCGGGGCAGGGUGAGUCGACCCCUAAGGCGAGGCCGAAAGGCGUAGUCGAUGGGAAACAGGUUAAUAUUCCUGUACUUGGUGUUACUGCGAAGGGGGGACGGAGAAGGCUAUGUUGGCCGGGCGACGGUUGUCCCGGUUUAAGCGUGUAGGCUGGUUUUCCAGGCAAAUCCGGAAAAUCAAGGCUGAGGCGUGAUGACGAGGCACUACGGUGCUGAAGCAACAAAUGCCCUGCUUCCAGGAAAAGCCUCUAAGCAUCAGGUAACAUCAAAUCGUACCCCAAACCGACACAGGUGGUCAGGUAGAGAAUACCAAGGCGCUUGAGAGAACUCGGGUGAAGGAACUAGGCAAAAUGGUGCCGUAACUUCGGGAGAAGGCACGCUGAUAUGUAGGUGAAGUCCCUCGCGGAUGGAGCUGAAAUCAGUCGAAGAUACCAGCUGGCUGCAACUGUUUAUUAAAAACACAGCACUGUGCAAACACGAAAGUGGACGUAUACGGUGUGACGCCUGCCCGGUGCCGGAAGGUUAAUUGAUGGGGUCAGCGCAAGCGAAGCUCUUGAUCGAAGCCCCGGUAAACGGCGGCCGUAACUAUAACGGUCCUAAGGUAGCGAAAUUCCUUGUCGGGUAAGUUCCGACCUGCACGAAUGGCGUAAUGAUGGCCAGGCUGUCUCCACCCGAGACUCAGUGAAAUUGAACUCGCUGUGAAGAUGCAGUGUACCCGCGGCAAGACGGAAAGACCCCGUGAACCUUUACUAUAGCUUGACACUGAACAUUGAGCCUUGAUGUGUAGGAUAGGUGGGAGGCUUAGAAGUGUGGACGCCAGUCUGCAUGGAGCCGACCUUGAAAUACCACCCUUUAAUGUUUGAUGUUCUAACGUUGACCCGUAAUCCGGGUUGCGGACAGUGUCUGGUGGGUAGUUUGACUGGGGCGGUCUCCUCCUAAAGAGUAACGGAGGAGCACGAAGGUUGGCUAAUCCUGGUCGGACAUCAGGAGGUUAGUGCAAUGGCAUAAGCCAGCUUGACUGCGAGCGUGACGGCGCGAGCAGGUGCGAAAGCAGGUCAUAGUGAUCCGGUGGUUCUGAAUGGAAGGGCCAUCGCUCAACGGAUAAAAGGUACUCCGGGGAUAACAGGCUGAUACCGCCCAAGAGUUCAUAUCGACGGCGGUGUUUGGCACCUCGAUGUCGGCUCAUCACAUCCUGGGGCUGAAGUAGGUCCCAAGGGUAUGGCUGUUCGCCAUUUAAAGUGGUACGCGAGCUGGGUUUAGAACGUCGUGAGACAGUUCGGUCCCUAUCUGCCGUGGGCGCUGGAGAACUGAGGGGGGCUGCUCCUAGUACGAGAGGACCGGAGUGGACGCAUCACUGGUGUUCGGGUUGUCAUGCCAAUGGCACUGCCCGGUAGCUAAAUGCGGAAGAGAUAAGUGCUGAAAGCAUCUAAGCACGAAACUUGCCCCGAGAUGAGUUCUCCCUGACUCCUUGA